UACAGAGACCUCGAGCGUUAUCCGGAAUCAUUGGGCGUAAAGCGUACCGAUAGGUGGCUAUGAAAGUCAGAUGUGAAAUGGCGAAGCUCAACUUCGUCACUGUCAUUUGAAACUUCAUGGCUAGAGGGGCAAAGAGGAAGCUGGAACAAACGGUGUAGUAGUAAAAUGCGUUGAUAUCGUUUUGGAACACCAAUAGCGUAGGCAAGCUUCUGGGUGCCACCUGACACUGCGUAGGACGGAAAGCGUGGGUAGCGAAUGGG
rnacentral:rRNA from 1 species